GAAAUGCGAUAAGUAAUGUGAAUUGCAGAAUUCCGUGAAUCAUCGAAUCUUUGAACGCACAUUGCGCCCUCUGGUAUUCCGGGGGGCAUGCCUGUCCGAGCGUCAUUGCGAACCCCUCAAGCACGGCUUGUGUGAUGGGCCCUCCCGCGUCUUGGUCGUCAAGACGGGCCCGAAAUGCAGUGGCGACUUCGCGGUUAUCCGAUCAGCCAGAGCGUAUGGGGACUUUCUCUCUGUCACACGCCCGCGGCGCGGACCGACGCCUGUCGACCUUCAUUCAUCGUUUUCUCGGUUGACCUCGGAUCAGGUAGGGAUACCCGCUGAACUUAAGC
rnacentral:misc_RNA from 1 species